CUCCGCGGACUCCCGGGCUUAGGCCCCUUCUGCCCGGCCUCCGUUUCUCCAGCUGUAAAUCGAGGGGGAUGGACUAAAAUUCUCUCCACGGUCUCUUCCCGCUUACAGCCUCUGCUCCUCCCGGGCUGAGCUGUCCCUUGUCGGACGAGGUCGCGGCUCCCGCAGGGACCUCCGUCCUCCCCGAGUCAGAGCGCGAAUGGAGGCCACCCGGGGCCCUCGCGAGCAGGACCUCUCUUCUGCGAGGACCAGAGGGGGAAAUCACGAGAGGAACUUUCCCACCGACCCGGGUGACGCGGGAGCAGCAGCCGGGAGCAAGGCAGGGUUAGGGGACAUCCAAGCCCGCUCUGCCUUGGGUUUGCAUGGAUCUCAGCAGUUUUCCAGUCUUGGCAGACAUCCCCUUCCCUCCCCAGUGCAUGCAACUUUCUCUCACCACCUCCUCCAAGGAUGUCCUGAUUGCUCCAAGUGAAAGGACCUCUCCCUCCUCCGGUUUUCCUUUGUAUCUGUGCUGAUGCAUCUCUUGCACUCACAUUUCCAGAGUCAACCUGAUGAUCUCAUGUACAUCUCAUCUGAGUUCUCUCCUCCCAGCCUCACUCCCUAACCCAAUUCGUCUGUAAGUGCCCUCAAAGGCAAGGGACAAGCUUCCUGUUUUUCUCUUCAUUUCAAUCGCUCCUCCUCCUGCCUGAUUCCCUCAGGAUAGGCAAAAGGCUGUGGAGGACUUCAGGGUUCGCUCCCGGCUCCGACCUUUAGACACCAAGUGACAAGGUCAAGCAGCUAACACGAGGCUCGGUUUCUUUACUCUAUCUCCAAAGGAUCUUUGCACAGAGAAUGAAGCCACUGCCCCAGUAGCCUUCCAGGGUUGGGAAGGAAGGCUGCUGAGGAGCCAUUCUCAUUGUGGGAGUACUUUAAGACAGUGGGAUCACUCAAACAGAAGGGGGGCACUCAUUCCUUCCUAAAAAUCUCUGCAGUCAUACUGACUUUUGUAUUAAACACGUAAUAUUAUCUAUGGGCUGUGUGCAAUUUUAUUUUCAUUUUUUGGUUAAAUAUUUCCUAAUUCAGUGGCUGAAUAAAUUAUGGUAUAUGAAAAUAA